rnacentral:rRNA from 1 species
GAUGAACGCUGGCGGCGUGCCUAAUACAUGCAAGUCGAGCGAACAGACGAGGAGCUUGCUCCUCUGGCGUUAGCGGCGGACGGGUGAGUAACACGUGGAUAACCUACCUAUAAGACUGGGAUAACUUCGGGAAACCGGAGCUAAUACCGGAUAAUAUAUUGAACCGCAUGGUUCAAUAGUGAAAGACGGUUUUGCUGUCACUUAUAGAUGGAUCCGCGCCGCAUUAGCUAGUUGGUAAGGUAACGGCUUACCAAGGCAACGAUGCGUAGCCGACCUGAGAGGGUGAUCGGCCACACUGGAACUGAGACACGGUCCAGACUCCUACGGGAGGCAGCAGUAGGGAAUCUUCCGCAAUGGGCGAAAGCCUGACGGAGCAACGCCGCGUGAAUGAUGAAGGUCUUCGGAUCGUAAAACUCUGUUAUUAGGGAAGAACAAAUGUGUAAGUAACUAUGCACGUCUUGACGGUACCUAAUCAGAAAGCCACGGCUAACUACGUG